AGCGCCGUGAAAUUUGAUUACUGGCUCAAACCUUUUCAAACUAUUCUAGUGAAAAACAAGUUAGAGAAAAAAUCUAUUAAAAAAUGUUCAAUAAAAAUUCCAUUUUGGUCGUUUUACUUUUGGUUCAGUUGGUGUCCAUCACAUUCAGUGCUGCAGCACCAGAAGGUCAAGAAGGUCAGGGCCAAGGAGGACAAUCAGGCGGACCCCAAGGAGGACCACCAGGAGGACAAUCAGGAUUAGGUAAACCACCUGGAUCAUCUGGACAAAAUUCAGAUGGAAAAAAUAAUCCAAAGAUUCCCGGAAAUUAAUAAUGAUCCCCAGGAGGUAAUUCAAAGUUAUCAACUAGGACAAUAAUCCACUAAACAAUGAAAAUAUUCUUAAAAUUAUUUGGCCGAUGAACAUCCUUAAAUGAACCUAUUAUUGGUUUAUUUAAGUCUUUUUUGAAAAAUGCACUGUAAAAAUAGUUAAUCUACACAGUAUGAAAAUUAAAAUAAAAAGCAAAUAGAAAAUUCA